UCCCUUGUAGCUCAGUUGGUAAAGAAUCUGCCUACAAUGCAGGAGACCCGGGUUCGAUUCCUGGGUUGGGAA
rnacentral:tRNA from 1 species